AUGGCUGCUAAGUUUCUGAGCCGAGCAACUAGAGAAGCAGCUGUGGGUGGAAGACAUUGGAGGCAGGGGGUGACCCCCAAGACAAGGAAACUGACCCAGAAGGAGAUUAAGUGGCCGGUUGGAAGUCUCAAGGGAGCCGAAGUUGAGCUCCACAGUUGCCAUACAUUGUAUCUUCUGCGAGGACACAUUUUGUCCUCAGAGUCCUUCAGUUUUUAAGAAACAUUUCAUCUGAGCUAAGACCAUCACACUCUAAGGUAAUAUGUAUCUUUAUCCGCUCUUCCAUCUGGCAGUUUAAGGAAAUCUUAUUAUAAUUUCACUUAUCACAACCAGAAAACUCUGAGAUGGAGGGGGAGCAGGAGCAGGAGGAGGCGCAGGAGGAGGAGCAGGAGGAGGGGCAGCCGCCUGACACUGCCUAGAUGACCGGGAACCAAAGGUAAGCACUUCUCUAAUCUGAGUGCUAAGAGGAAACAGAAGCCUGUGAGCUUGGAAAAUGGUGCUCUGGUAUAGACUACAUGCGUGAAGCAAACCUUCAGAGCCACACAAAAGCUCCUCCCACCCAGCUGCAGCAGAUGUUAACGACCAGAGAAGAGGAGGAUGUUGGAUCUGCUUCUCUGAUCAAAAACAUUUUGCCAUUGUCUAUUGCUCUUGUUGUUGUACACUUCAACAAAAACCUCGGUCGUGAGAUUGUAAGACCUGCUGGGUUUUAGCUGAUUCUCACUGAACUAUGUUUAGCUUUGUUUUAAAGACUAUUAUGUGAAUUAAUGUUUUACAUGCAUGUAUGUAUGUGGACCACAUGAAUGUCUGAUGCCUCCAAAGGCCAGAAAAGUGUCAGAUCCCCUGGGACUAGGGGUAUAUGGUUGUGAACUGCCUUGUUGGUGCUGGGAACAAUACUUGGGUCACCUGCAAGAACAGCAAGCGCCCUUAUGCACUAAGCCGUCUCUGUGUUAUUUAGCUUAUGGGAAGGCUAUAAUAAUACAACCCCUACUUUUCUUCAAUUUCUGGUCUAAAAACAAACUCCAAACUCAGAUUCGGAUUCUCUCUCUUAUUUUACUUCUUUCUUAGUAAAUAGUCCUGACUAAUGAGCAUGGAAAGCCAAUUCUCUGAAUCCAUCAGCUGUGAAAAGCAGGCUUCGCUGGCCUGCCUGCCCCAUCUGAUUGUACUGUUCCUGGAUUUUAGAAGUCCAAAUGG
rnacentral:lncRNA from 1 species